AAUGAACGUUGGCGGCGUGGAUUAGGCAUGCAAGUCGGGGGAAUCCCGCAAGGGGGAACCGGCGUAAGGGGCAGUAAGGCAUGGGUACCUACCUUUGGGUUCGGGAUAGCCAUCAGAGAUGGUGGGUAAUACCGGAUGACGUCGUGAGACCAAAGAUUUAUCGCCCAUUGAGGGGCCCAUGUGAUAUUAGCUUGUUGGUGAGGUAACGGCUCACCAAGGCGAAGAUGUCUAGCGGGUGUGAGAGCACGACCCGCGCCACUCGCACUGAGACACUGGCGAGACACCUACGGGUGGCUGCAGUCGAGGAUCUUCGGCAAUGGGCGCAAGCCUGACCGAGCGACGCCGCGUGUGCGAUGAAGGCCUUGGGUU
rnacentral:rRNA from 1 species